rnacentral:rRNA from 1 species
AUGGUCGCUCACGAUCUGAGAAACACUGCGCGCUUUCCUUUCCUUGAGCAAGCGGAGAAAGGGCAGACAGCCUUGUGUCUAGUGUGGUGGCAUCAGUUGGCCUUGGUCGUUUGCCCCGGUGGCAAGCGAAGCACAGAUACCAAAACUGAGCGGCAAGAAAGGCAGAAGAGCAUCAGUUCACCUUCAAGCCCAUGGCACAGCACACUAGUACUCCUGAAAGCAAAAAGAGUUGGCUCAACAGCAAGCAGGAUCAUCGUCGCCACGCCACUACACCUCACUUACAUCUACUACAUGGAUCAUCGAUCUGUCCUUUUUCCUCUUUCUGCCGCCGGCUUUUCCACCGCUUUCUUCUCUCCUCUUAUCGAUGGCCGCUCCUCCCAUCCACGCUUCCUCUUCUCUUCAGUGGCCGAGCCUCAGCUAUAA